rnacentral:rRNA from 1 species
AGCUAACCUAACCUUAGGUCAAGCAUAACCUCGGGAAACUGAGGAUAAUACUUGAUAGAAAAUUUUUUCUGGAAUGAGAAAUUUUUGAAACUCGAGCCUAAGGAUGGGGCUGCGGCUGAUUAGCUAGUUGUUGGUGUAAUAGACUAACAAGGCAAUGAUCAGUAAGGGUUCUUAGCGGAAGAGCCCUGAGAAGGAAUCUGAGAUACUAUUCCUAGCUCUACGGGGUGCAGCAGUUAAGGAACUUUUCCAAUGCUCGAAAGAGUGAGAAAAUCAACCAGAGUGUUUCCUUUUAGGAAACUUUUGUCUGCUGUAAAAAGGCAGAUGAAUAAGGACUGGGCAAGACCGGUGCCAGCCGCCGCGGUAAUCCCGGCGGUCCAAGUCGCAUCCACAUUUAUUGGGUCUAAAACAUCCGUAGCUUGUUUUGUAAGUCUCUUGUGAAAUCCCAUCUCUCAAAUUUGGGGCGUGCAAGAGAUACUACAUUGCUAGAGAUCGGAAGACGUAAAGAGAACGACUGAGGUAGUGGUAAAAUAUGUUAAUCUUGGUCGGACUAACAAUGGCGAAGGCACUUUACGAGUACGAAUCUGACAGUGAGGGAUGAAGGCUAGGGGCGCAAAAGGGAUUAGAUACCCCUGUAGUCCUAGCAGUAAACACUGCUCACUAAACAUCUGCACCUCUUCGAGAGGUGUUGGUGCUGUAGCGAAGGCGAAGAGUGAGCUACCUGGGAAGUAUAGUCGCAAGGCCGAAACU